rnacentral:rRNA from 1 species
UGGGGAAUAUUGGACAAUGGGCGCAAGCCUGAUCCAGCCAUGCCGCGUGAGUGAUGAAGGCCCUAGGGUUGUAAAGCUCUUUCACCGGUGAAGAUAAUGACGGUAACCGGAGAAGAAGCCCCGGCUAACUUCGUGCCAGCAGCCGCGGUAAUACGAAGGGGGCUAGCGGUGUUCGGAUUUACUGGGCGUAAAGCGCACGUAGGCGGACUAUUAAGUCAGGGGUGAAAUCCCGGGGCUCAACCCCGGAACUGCCUUUGAUACUGGUAGUCGUGAGUUCGAGAGAGGUGAGUGGAAUUCCGAGUGUAGAGGUGAAAUUCGUAAAUAUUCGGAGGAACACCAGUGGCGAAGGAGGCUCACUGGAUCGAUACUGACGAUGAGGUGCGAAAGCGUGGGGAGCAAACAGG